GUAACCACCACCAGUAUAAAGGCGGGGCCGCCAGCCCCCGGCAUCAGUCGACGGCAGCAAACCGAAGGCGACACCAUGAAGACUCUCGUGUUCCUGUUUGUGGUGCUGGCUGUGGUGUGCGUGGCUCUGGCUGUGCCGGGCCCUCUGCCCCUACCACGUCCUGGCCCAGUGCCGAUCCCUGCUGCGCCCAGGGAGACCCUGCGUGGCAGCGAGCAGGUCUACUACGGAUACGUCCCAUACGUCGUCGGCUGAGCACAAUGACAAUGGAAAACGGCUACCUAAUCGGCAUCACCGUGGACUUGAUACACACACCUUUUGGCUGAAGUUUACUAUUUCCCUAUUACAUCCGAAAUUGCCUUUAAUUCUCAAUAAAUUUUACACUUCCUAUUAA